GUCAGCUGUGAAAACCCCAGCUUAACUGUGGGUUUGCAGCUGAUACGGGCAGGCUUGAGUUCGGUAGGGGAGACUGGAAUUCCUGGUGUAGCGGUGAAAUGCGCAGAUAUCAGGAGGAACACCGGUGGCGAAGGCGGGUCUCUGGGCCGAUACUGACGCUGAGGAGCGAAAGCGUGGGGAGCGAACAGGAUUAGAUACCCUGGUAGUCCACGCUGUAAACGUUGGGCGCUAGGUGUGGGGGGCCUCUCCGGUUCUCUGUGCCGUAGCUAACGCAUUAAGCGCCCCGCCUGGGGAGUACGGCCGCAAGGCUAAAACUCAAAGGAAUUGACGGGGGCCCGCACAAGCGGCGGAGCAUGCGGAUUAAUUCGAUGCGACGCGAAGAACCUUACCUGGGUUUGACAUGGCCGUUAAAGCCGCAGA
rnacentral:rRNA from 1 species